GUCCCUGUAGUAUAAUGGAUAGAACGCGAGGUUGCGGACCUCGAAAACCGAGUUCAAUUCUCGGCAGGGACA
rnacentral:tRNA from 1 species